UGCUAUGGUGAGAUCACCACUAGGAAGUGCCAUCAAAUGAUAACUGAUGGUAACUAUUCCUGGCUGACU